UGGGAAUGGGGGUAAGGGCC
rnacentral:miRNA from 1 species